rnacentral:rRNA from 1 species
GACGCACCAUGCAAACGUUAUUCGGAUUCACUGGGCUUAAAGCGUGCGUAGGCGGUCUUGUUAGUCAGGUGUGAAAGCCCUCAGCUCAACUGAGGAAUUGCGCUUGAUACUGCAUGACUAGAGAAUGAUAGAGGUGGGUGGAACUGAUGGUGGAGCGGUGAAAUGCGUUGAUAUCAUCAGGAACACCAGUGGCGAAGGCGACCCACUGGGUCAUUUCUGACGCUGAGGUACGAAAGCUAGGGUAGCGAACGGG